rnacentral:lncRNA from 1 species
GCGUAUUCAAGCUCCUGUACAAGAGUGUGAUCCUAAAGAUUUCAGCAGCCGACCAGUUAACCCUAAUUUAACUGAUGAAUUUGUCGUGGAGGUAUGCAUGGUGACAAGCGUCUCAUAUUACACUACAUUUAACUCAACCAAAGACUUAGUUCAAUACGCAGCAACGAUGCUUAAUGCGGUUCAGCUGCGAUAUACUCAGAUGGAACGUCCUAAAAUAUUGUUCCAGCUUAACCAACUUGAUGUGG